AGAGUUUGAUCCUGGCUCAGGAUGAACGCUAGCUACAGGCUUAACACAUGCAAGUCGAGGGGCAGCAUGUUGGUUGCUUGCAACCAAUGAUGGCGACCGGCGCACGGGUGAGUAACGCGUAUCUAACCUACCCUUGUCCAUCGGAUAACCCGUCGAAAGGCGGCCUAACACGAUAUGCGGUUCUCAGCAGGCAUCUAACGAGAACGAAAUGUGAAGGAGAAGGAUGGGGAUGCGUCUGAUUAGCUUGUGGCGGGGUAACGGCCACAAGGCGACGAUCAGUAGGGUUCUGAGAGGAAGGUCCCCCANAUUGGAACUGAGACACGGUCCAAAUCCUACGGGAGCA
rnacentral:rRNA from 1 species